UGUUGAAUUUUUGACAAAACUUGUACAGCAGGAUUUACCGAUACUUCUGCCAAGCAUCGUAGUUUGAAAACUUUGAACUUUCAGUCAGCAGUCGAAAUAUUCUGCAGCACAAUAAACAUUUGCGUUGACCUUUAAGUCCAUAGUGUUCCAGUUUUGUUAUACCAAUAAAUUAUUAUUAUAACACUCGAAUUCGAUAAUAUAUUUCAGCUAAAAUGGCACCUUCAUGUAAUGACUGCUCGUGCAAAGAUUGCAAGCCAAAGCCACGUGCUCGCAACACCUGCGACGGAGAAGCAUGCAAACCUCGAAAGCGAUCCACUGCUACUUCCACCGCUGCGCGAAAGCGGGAAUGUGCGCCGUGUGCUCCACGGAAGCGAAACACCUCCAAGCACUGUUGCGGAUGAAGAGGUCAGCUAGUUCAACGAUGUCUUGACUGUGGUUUUACACUUUUACUGUUGUGCAUUUUUAACCGAUCUGUGUCCCGUUUCUGCGAUGCCCGACAGUAAGGCGCUAUUGCGCGACUGGUUUUCUGGAUGUUUUUUUGUAACGCAUCCGUGAAAUUGUCCGGUUGAUACUUUUAAUUAUUUUAAAUUAUUAUAAUUUCAUUAGGCGGAUGUAAAUGUGAAACGCCCAGAGUUAUAACUCUUCUGAUGCUGUACAGAAUUACAUUACUGGUUAUGUGAUAUACCUGAAAAUCUAUUAAAGUUACGGUAUUUAUGGA